UUCCCCCCACCUACUCUUAUAUCAUGGAAAGCAUUAUCUGGUCUGCCAGGAUUAGUGCGGAAAAGUUUGCCUGUGGCUAACACGCCAAGCAGAUUGUUGACGGUGUGUGUGUUGUUACGGCGUAAUUCAUUCUAAUUAUAAUCUUACACUAAAACAACGUUGUACACCCUGCGUCUGGCAAGUCGGAGAGGAAAUCGUUCUUAAUUGUCAUUCCAUCAUAAUUAUAAUUAAUGGCUGAAUGAGUGCACAGUAACUUAGUGGAUAACAAGUGUUGAUUGUGUAACUAAGGUUCUUUCCCCGAAAUUACAGAUGACCUCGGCCUAUUGAAAUACCACCACCUGCGAGGUCUUUAUCUUCUUGCAGUCUCACUGUUAUUCUUACAAAUGUUACACCCUCCUUUCUCGCAGUAAAAAAACAGAGAGCAAGAUGAAUCAAAAGGCAGUCUUACUGGUUUGUGGGGUGAGUGAUGUUGAAGGGAGCGAGUCCAAAACACCUCUCACACCCACCCCCAAAAGAAAAGAAAAAAAUUCCCUUUCAAAACCCAACAUGGUGAAAAUGACAUUUCGGUUGAGGCGGCUAAUAAAUCUUGGCAGAAGGCGGCCGGAGGAGUGGAAGUAUGGGCUCCCUCGUCAGCGAUGUGGACGGUGAUGGUGGGUGGAAGGGGGGAAGAAGGGUAGCCACAUAAGAGGAGGUUUGUGUUAGCACGGGACGAGAUGAGGUGUAAGGGGAGUUCUGCUGGAUUAGGGAGAGUGGAACAUCUUGCUGCCGAAAUUGUGUGCAUCGAUCGACACGUUUCUGUUACAACCACCCCAAACCUGAGACCUGUAUUUAGGCUGCAUGCGGAAUAAGCAGCUUUUCCUCAGCGGGCCUGUGACUCGAGCCGCCGCUGGAGAGAUUUGGUCCAUGCCCCGGGGUAGGACAUCAACUGAGAGUGUGUUCAAACAGCGGAUCUUCGCCGAGGAAAAAGCAAAAGGAGGACUGUAAACACACUGAAGCAAACACACAGCACCAGUGAAAUUCCCUCAUUUAAGGAUCGUGACCUCCUUCUGCGCAUUAUCACGGAAAGAAAGACCCCCCCCCCGUGUUGCCGAAUCAAUUAAAAACAACCAUACAGAAUGGAAGGAUUAGAAAAAAAAACGCACAGCAGAUAAGAGUGUUUGAAAUCCUCAUUUAUCAGAUAAAAUGAUUAUCCUGGAAAGUAUUUUGGAGUGGCCAUUAAAAACAAUGCGGUGGGAUUACGAGGUCUCACAAAGUUUACAGUUAAAUGCCAAACGGCUUUGAUUGACUCACUGAGGCUCAUCCAUGUUAAGAUAAAACAGACUGACAUGCCUAGAAAUACAAAAAACACAGGCCGGAAAGAACUAAUGGUUUGGUUGGUGUUGUGCCAGAAUGUCCAGAUGACCCAAUCCGAGGCUGGUUCAUGGUUUUGUUGCGUCUACUGGUAUUCCCUUAACAUUGCGACUCAAAUAAGUAAUUAACACGAUUUGAUGAAGAUGUAGAAUUUGGGACAAAUCCACAGGAAUCUUUGCUUUUGAUGUGUAGCUUGUCAUGCUAACAGCCUCCAAAAAAUGGAUGCAUGCAACACUUUGAAACUCGACUGUUGUAUCAAGCAUCAUUUUGGUUUACCCACCUUUUUCCAUUCUGCGCAGCACCGCCGUCGAGGGAGCAGCUCGAGGACGGAGCGGAGCGGCUUUGUUCUGAGGCGAUGCUGACAGUCUCUUUAUCUCCUCCUGUCAGACAGAACUCUGUUUGAUCUGCAGCUUCUUUUGCACAUCUUCCACAUUCUGGUCAGAUGACCUCAGCUUGCUUUGCUUCAACAACAAGAAAAAAGUGUGAGGGAAAAGUGGUUGUGUUGCAAUUAAGGAGUGACCUUUACAUGCUUUUGUGAGUUUCGCACAUACAGUGGAGUAUAUGUUCUUUAUUGACGCAAUGCUAGUGAAUCUAAUCUGCCGUCUCUAUCUUCAUCUCCCAGGGUGACUUUUUUUUUUUUUUAGUAGUUCACAUCACAAACGGCAAUUAAAAGGGAUGUGCCACACUGACUACGUAUAGAGAGAGACAGAAAGCGGGAGAAGGAUGUAAAGAGAAGAAGUAUGCCACCUCUUCCUCAAUAAAACCGCCACUGACACCA